GACGAACGCUGGCGGCGUGCUUAACACAUGCAAGUCGAACGGUAAGGCCCUUCGGGGUACACAAGUGGCGAACGGGUGAGUAACACGUGGGUGAUCCGCCCUGCACUUCGGGAUAAGCCUGGGAAACUGGGUCUAAUACCGGAUAGGACCACUGCCUGCAUGGGUGGUGGUGGAAAGCUUUUGCGGUGUGGGAUGGGCCCGCGGCCUAUCAGCUUGUUGGUGGGGUGAUGGCCUACCAGGGCGACGACGGGUAGCCGGCCUGAGAGGGUGACCGGCCACACUGGGACUGAGAUACGGCCCAGACUCCUACGGGAGGCAGCAGUGGGGAACAUUGCACAAUGGGCGCAAGCCUGAUGCAGCAACGCCGCGUGAGGGAUGACGGCCUUCGGGUUGUAAACCUCUUUUAGUAGGGGAGAAGCGAAAGUGACGGUACCUGCAGAAAAAGCACCGGCUAACUACGUGCCAGCCGCCGCCGUAA
rnacentral:rRNA from 1 species